GAUGAACGCUGGCGGCGUGCCUAAUACAUGCAAGUCGAGCGAACGGACGAGAAGCUUGCUUCUCUGAUGUUAGCGGCGGACGGGUGAGUAACACGUGGAUAACCUACCUAUAAGACUGGGAUAACUUCGGGAAACCGGAGCUAAUACCGGAUAAUAUUUUGAACCGCAUGGUUCAAAAGUGAAAGGCAGUCUUGCUGUCACUUAUAGAUGGAUCCGCGCUGCAUUAGCUAGUUGGUAAGGUAACGGCUUACCAAGGCAACGAUGCAUAGCCGACCUGAGAGGGUGAUCGGCCACACUGGAACUGAGACACGGUCCAGACUCCUACGGGAGGCAGCAGUAGGGAAUCUUCCGCAAUGGGCGAAAGCCUGACGGAGCAACGCCGCGUGAGUGAUGAAGGUCUUCGGAUCGUAAAACUCUGUUAUUAGGGAAGAACAUAUGUGUAAGUAACUGUGCACAUCUUGACGGUACCUAAUCAGAAAGCCACGGCUAACUACGUG
rnacentral:rRNA from 1 species